AGAGUUUGAUCAUGGCUCAGAUUGAACGCUGGCGGCAGGCCUAACACAUGCAAGUCGAACGGUAACAGGAAGCAGCUUGCUGCUUCGCUGACGAGUGGCGGACGGGUGAGUAAUGUCUGGGAAGCUGCCUGAUGGAGGGGGAUAACUACUGGAAACGGUAGCUAAUACCGCAUAAUGUCGCAAGACCAAAGAGGGGGACCUUCGGGCCUCUUGCCAUCGGAUGUGCCCAGAUGGGAUUAGCUUGUUGGUGGGGUAACGGCUCACCAAGGCGACGAUCCCUAGCUGGUCUGAGAGGAUGACCAGCCACACUGGAACCGAGACACGGUCCAGACUCCUACGGGAGGCAGCAGUGGGGAAUAUUGCACAAUGGGCGCAAGCCUGAUGCAGCCAUGCCGCGUGUAUGAAGAAGGCCUUCGGGUUGUAAAGUACUUUCAGCGGGGAGGAAGGGAGUAAAGUUAAUACCUUUGCUCAUUGACGUUACCCGCAGAAGAAGCACCGGCUAACUCCGUGCCAGCAGCCGCGGUAAUACGGAGGGUGCAAGCGUUAAUCGGAAUUACUGGGCGUAAAGCGCACGCAGGCGGUUUGUUAAGUCAGAUGUGAAAUCCCCGGGCUCAACCUGGGAACUGCAUCUGAUACUGGCAAGCUUGAGUCUCGUAGAGGGGGGUAGAAUUCCAGGUGUAGCGGUGAAAUGCGUAGAGAUCUGGAGGAAUACCGGUGGCGAAGGCGGCCCCCUGGACGAAGACUGACGCUCAGGUGCGAAAGCGUGGGGAGCAAACAGGAUUAGAUACCCUGGUAGUCCACGCCGUAAACGAUGUCGACUUGGAGGUUGUGCCCUUGAGGCGUGGCUUCCGGAGCUAACGCGUUAAGUCGACCGCCUGGGGAGUACGGCCGCAAGGUUAAAACUCAAAUGAAUUGACGGGGGCCCGCACAAGCGGUGGAGCAUGUGGUUUAAUUCGAUGCAACGCGAAGAACCUUACCUGGUCUUGACAUCCACGGAAGUUUUCAGAGAUGAGAAUGUGCCUUCGGGAACCGUGAGACAGGUGCUGCAUGGCUGUCGUCAGCUCGUGUUGUGAAAUGUUGGGUUAAGUCCCGCAACGAGCGCAACCCUUAUCCUUUGUUGCCAGCGGUCCGGCCGGGAACUCAAAGGAGACUGCCAGUGAUAAACUGGAGGAAGGUGGGGAUGACGUCAAGUCAUCAUGUCCCUUACGACCAGGGCUACACACGUGCUACAAUGGCGCAUACAAAGAGAAGCGACCUCGCGAGAGCAAGCGGACCUCAUAAAGUGCGUCGUAGUCCGGAUUGGAGUCUGCAACUCGACUCCAUGAAGUCGGAAUCGCUAGUAAUCGUGGAUCAGAAUGCCACGGUGAAUACGUUCCCGGGCCUUGUACACACCGUCCGUCACACCAUGGGAGUGGGUUGCAAAAGAAGUAGGUAGCUUAACCUUCGGGAGGGCGCUUACCACUUUGUGAUUCAUGACUGGGGUGAAGUCGUAACAAGGUA
rnacentral:rRNA from 1 species